AAGGAUUUAAGUUAAAUAAAACUAGUAACCUUCAAAGUUGCCAAUAUUGUCUUCUUUAAGCCUUA
rnacentral:tRNA from 1 species